UGGGGAAUAUUGCGCAAUGGGGGAAACCCUGACGCAGCAACGCCGCGUGAAGGAUGAAGGUUUUCGGAUCGUAAACUUCUUUGAUUAGGGACGAAUAAUGACGGUACCUAAAGAACAAGCCACGGCUAACUACGUGCCAGCAGCCGCGGUAAUACGUAGGUGGCAAGCGUUGUCCGGAAUUACUGGGUGUAAAGGGCGUGUAGGCGGGAAAUUAAGUCAGAUGUGAAAUUCCGGGGCUCAACCCCGGCGCUGCAUCUGAAACUAAUUUUCUUGAGUGCUGGAGAGGAAAGCGGAAUUCCUAGUGUAGCGGUGAAAUGCGUAGAUAUUAGGAGGAACACCAGUGGCGAAGGCGGCUUUCUGGACAGUAACUGACGCUGAGGCGCGAAAGCGUGGGGAGCAAACAGG
rnacentral:rRNA from 1 species